GAUCCUGGCUCAGAAUCAACGCUGGCGGCGCGCUUAACACAUGCAAGUCGAACGAGAAAGGGGAGCAAUCCCUGAGUACAGUGGCGUACGGGUGAGUAACACGUGGAUGAUCUAUCUCUUUGUGGGGAAUAACUCUGGGAAACCGGAGAUAAUACCGCAUAAGCUCGAGAGAGGAAAGCAGCAAUGCGCUGAGAGAGGAGUCCGCGGCCGAUUAGCUAGUUGGCAGGGUAAAAGCCUACCAAGGCAUAGAUCGGUAGCCGGCCUGAGAGGGCACACGGCCACACUGGCACUGAAACACGGGCCAGACUCCUACGGGAGGCAGCAGUGGGGAAUCUUGCACAAUGGGGGCAACCCUGAUGCAGCGACGCCGCGUGAGCGAUGAAGCCCUUCGGGGUGUAAAGCUCUUUCGGCAGGGAAGAUUAUGACGGUACCUGCAGAAGCAGCUGCGGCUAACUACGUGCCAGCAGCCGCGGUAAUACGUAGGCAGCGAGCGUUGUUCGGAGUUACUGGGCGUAAAGGGUGUGUAGGCGGUUGUUUAAGUUUGGUGUGAAAUCUCCCGGCUCAACUGGGAGGGUGCGCCGAAUACUGAAUGACUUCGAGUACGGGAGAGGUGAGUGGAAUUCCUGGUGUAGCGGUGAAAUGCGUAGAUAUCAGGAGGAACACCGGUGGUGUAGACGGCUCACUGGACCG
rnacentral:rRNA from 1 species